rfam:Phlebia centrifuga strain FBCC195 PHLCENscaffold_1025, whole genome shotgun sequence.
GGCACUAUAGCCAAGUGGUUACGGCGGUUGAUUCGAAUUUGUUCGAUUAUCACCUCCUCUUGUAGGGCGCAGGUUCGAAUCCUGCUGGUGUCG